ensembl:snRNA U7 U7 small nuclear RNA
AAACCUUUGCUCUUUUAGUAUUUUUCCAGUAGGCUUUCUCAAUGAGAAGGCCCCC